UAACAGACCUCUUAAAGUCAAAGGACAACGUAGAAUCAAAAAUUACCCCAAGGUUCCUCACUUUGUCAGUGUGAUGUAUGACACCACGAGCCUAGGGUAAGCAUUAGCUGCUCAAAUUGAUGCCAGUGUCUCACUGGACCAAGAACCAUCAUUUCAGUCUUAUCAGAAUUUAAAAGUAGGAUGCUGCUUGAUAUCCAGCUUCUCACUUGAUGCAAGGCAAUCUUGUAAGGAUUUUAUGUGGAUGAGAUUACCGGAAGUAAUUGGUAUGUAUAACUGCGUAUCAUCGGCAUAGCAGUGAAAGGUAAUCCCAAAAUGCCACAAUAUGUGCCCAAGGGGUGCUAUAUAAAGGGAGAAAAGCAGGUGGCCUAAGAUGGACCCUUGUGGAACCCCAAA